UGGGGAAUAUUGGACAAUGGGCGCAAGCCUGAUCCAGCCAUGCCGCGUGAGUGAUGAAGGCCCUAGGGUUGUAAAGCUCUUUCACCGGUGAAGAUAAUGACGGUAACCGGAGAAGAAGCCCCGGCUAACUUCGUGCCAGCAGCCGCGGUAAUACGAAGGGGGCUAGCGUUGUUCGGAAUUACUGGGCGUAAAGCGCACGUAGGCGGACUAUUAAGUCAGGGGUGAAAUCCCGGGGCUCAACCCCGGAACUGCCUUUGAUACUGGUAGUCUAGAGUUCGAGAGAGGUGAGUGGAAUUCCGAGUGUAGAGGUGAAAUUCGUAGAUAUUCGGAGGAACACCAGUGGCGAAGGCGGCUCACUGGCUCGAUACUGACGCUGAGGUGCGAAAGCGUGGGGAGCAAACAGGAUUAGAUACCCCCGUAGUCC
rnacentral:rRNA from 1 species